rnacentral:rRNA from 1 species
GCGGAAAAAAUUGAACGGAUCCGCGGCUGACAAAAAAACGUCCGGGUUUUUGAGAAGACGCGAGGACCGUUUAAGGUAGCGCAAUCACUUGUCUUUUAAAUGAAGACCUGUAUGAAUGGCAUAACGAAGGCUUAACUGUCUCCUUUCUCUAGUCAAUGAAAUUGAUCUCCCCGUGCAGAAGCGGGGAUAAUCCCAUAAGACGAGAAGACCCUGUGGAGCUUUAGACACAAAGCAGAUCUGGCAAACCCACACCCCCCCAAGCUAAAAGAACCCUGCUCUAAUGUCUUCGGUUGGGGCGACCACGGGGAAACAAACAACCCCCACGCAGAAUAAGAGAACACCCUCUUAAAAACGAGAGCCACCACUCCAAAAAACAGAACUUCUGACUACAAGAUCCGGAAACACCGAUCAACGAACCAAGUUACCCCAGGGAUAACAGCGCAAUCCUCUUCAAGAGCCCAUAUCGACAGGGGGUUUACGACCUCGAUGUUGGAUCAGGACAUCCUAAUGGUGCAGCCGCUAUUAAGGGUUCGUUUGUUCAACGAUUAAAGUCCUACGUGAUCUGAGUUCAGACCGGAUCCCCGCCUGUUUAUCAAAGAAAUAUACGUGAGUUGAGUUUACAGAGGAUCCGGCGGUUUUGCAAAAAAAUUGUU